ACACUCCUACGGGAGGCAGCAGUGGGGAAUAUUGGACAAUGGGCGCAAGCCUGAUCCAGCCAUGCCGCGUGAGUGAUGAAGGCCCUAGGGUUGUAAAGCUCUUUUGUGCGGGAAGAUAAUGACGGUACCGCAAGAAUAAGCCCCGGCUAACUUCGUGCCAGCAGCCGCGGUAAUACGAAGGGGGCUAGCGUUGCUCGGAAUCACUGGGCGUAAGGGUGCGUAGGCGGGUCUUUAAGUCAGGGGUGAAAUCCUGGAGCUCAACUCCAGAACUGCCUUUGAUACUGAAGAUCUUGAGUUCGGGAGAGGUGAGUGGAACUGCGAGUGUAGAGGUGAAAUUCGUAGAUAUUCGCAAGAACACCAGUGGCGAAGGCGGCUCACUGGCCCGAUACUGACGCUGAGGCACGAAAGCGUGGGGAGCAAACAGGAUUAGAAACCCGAGUAGUCCCA
rnacentral:rRNA from 1 species